rnacentral:rRNA from 2 species
UUAUACAGCGAAACUGCGAAUGGCUCAUUAUAUAAGUUAUCGUUUAUUUGAUAAUACUUUACUACUUGGAUAACCGUGGUAAUUCUAGAGCUAAUACAUGCUAAAAAUCCCGACUCACGAAGGGUUGUAUUUAUUAGAUUAAAAACCAAUGCCCUCUGGGCUCUCUGGUGAAUCAUGAUAACUGGUCGAAUCGACAGGCCUUGUGCCGGCGAUGGCUCAUUCAAAUUUCUUCCCUAUCAACUUUCGAUGUUUGGGUAUUGGCCAAACAUGGUGGCAACGGGUAACGGAGGGUUAGGGCUCGACCCCGGAGAAGGAGCCUGAGAAACGGCUACUACAUCCAAGGAAGGCAGCAGGCGCGCAAAUUACCCAAUCCCGACUCGGGGAGGUAGUGACAAUAAAUACUGAUACAGGGCUCUUUUGGGUCUUGUAAUCGGAAUGAGUACAAUUUAAAUCCCUUAACGAGGAACAAUUGGAGGGCAAGUCUGGUGCCAGCAGCCGCGGUAAUUCCAGCUCCAAUAGCGUAUAUUAAAGUUGUUGUGGUUAAAAAGCUCGUAGUUGAACCUUGGGCCUGGCUGGCCGGUCCGCCUCACCGCGUGUACUGGUCCGGCCGGGCCUUUCCCUCUGUGGAACCCCAUUCCCUUCACUGGGUGUGGCGGGGAAACAGGACUUUUACUUUGAAAAAAUUAGAGUGCUCAAGGCAGGCCUAUGCUCGAAUACAUUAGCAUGGAAUAAUAAAAUAGGACGUGUGGUUCUAUUUUGUUGGUUUCUAGGACCGCCGUAAUGAUUAAUAGGGACAGUCGGGGGCAUCAGUAUUCAAUUGUCAGAGGUGAAAUUCUUGGAUUUAUUGAAGACUAACUACUGCGAAAGCAUUUGCCAAGGAUGUUUUCAUUAAUCAGGAACGAAAGUUAGGGGAUCGAAGACGAUCAGAUACCGUCGUAGUCUUAACCAUAAACUAUGCCGACUAGGGAUCGGACGAUGUUAUUUUUUGACGCGUUCGGCACCUUACGAGAAAUCAAAGUGCUUGGCUC